rnacentral:rRNA from 1 species
GUAGGGGUGCAAGCGUUAUCCGGAAUCAUUGGGCGUAAAGAGCUCGUAGGCGGUUCCGCAAGUCGGGCUGUGAAAUCCCGAGGCUUAACCUCGGAACUGCAGUCGAUACUGCCCGUGACUAGAGUCCGGUAGAGGAGAAUGGAAUUCCCGGUGUAGCGGUGAAAUGCGCAGAUAUCGGGAGGAACACCAGUAGCGAAGGCGGUUCUCUGGGCCGGUACUGACGCUGAGGAGCGAAAGCGUGGGUAGCAAACAGGAUUAGAUACCCUGGUAGUCCACGCCGUAAACGUUGGACACUAGGUGUGGCGUUCCGACCAACGGGUGCCGUGCCGAAGCUAACGCAUUAAGUGUCCCGCCUGGGGAGUACGGCCGCAAGGCUA